rnacentral:rRNA from 1 species
GACUUGUCUGCUUAAUUGCGAUAACAACGAGACCUCUCCUGCUAAAUAGCCCGGCUAGCUUUGGCUGGUCGCUGGCUUCUUAGAGGGACUUUUGGCUUAAGCUAAAGGAAGUUGUAGGCAAUAACAGGUCCGUGAUGCCCUUAGAUGUUCUGGGCCGCACGCGCGCUACACUGACAGAGCCAACGAGUUUUUUUCCUUAACCGAAAGGUUUGGGUAAUCUUGGUAAACUCUGUCGUGCUGGGGAUAGGGCAUUGCAAUC